ensembl:misc_RNA Y_RNA Y RNA
GACUGGUUCAAGUGGUAUUUACAACUAAUUGAUCACAACCAGUUACAGAUUUCUUUGUUCCUUCUCCACUCUCACUGCUUUACUUGACUAGCCUUAA